CAGACUCCUCAAGGAUGGUAAGGAGGUUGAAACACAUCCUUGAUAAAACAAGUGGUGCCGGUGGUGCUGAGCCCAUCGCAGUCGCGUCAGCACCAAAAAGGCUAUAAGAUAACUUCAGCCUGACACUCCAUCUGGCAUACCCUUCCGACACCUUACUCAUCCAAGGCACUAGCACGUUGGACCUCGGGGAAGAAAUCCUCCUUGAUGAGGCCACGCUGGCACGACUGCGGCGAGACGCAAGAAACACAGGCUCAAGAAUUGCCCGG